rnacentral:lncRNA from 1 species
UAGUUUGAGAUAUUUUGGGUUCAUGUACAUACCUUUUGUCAGUUUACUCGCUGGAGCGAGUUGGUUAUGUGGGUUGGAGCUUAUGUAUGUACUAUGAACCUUAUGUUUUAUAUAUAUUCAUGUUUUAGUUUAGUAGCUCUAUAUUUUGGUUGUCGCUAUUAUUUGAUUACAGGUACUGCUAUCGCUUCGUAUACACGAAAAAUUUCUAUGUAUACGGCGGAUCUGUUUGCGUGCCCGGAGAAACGCGGUAAUCCGGGACGUGACAUAUAUAUAUAUAUAUAUAUAUAAUAUUUUUUGUAUUGAAAUUUACUAUUAUUAAUUAAAAUUACAAGAAUAUUGUUAGUAUUAUAUUUUGUUCAUUACAUAUAUUAUGAAUAAAUUAUAUAACUUAAAUUAUUACAUAAAAUAUUAUAUUAGAAAUUAUUAUAUAAAAUAAUUUAUAAAUAAUUUUAUAUAAAAUAUGCUAAUAUAAAUUAAUUAUUUUAUUUUUAUAAAUAUAUUUAAAUAUUAUUUUAGAUUUUUUAUCCAAAUGCUACUAAAGAUAUACUCUAGAAUAUCCAUGAAUGUAUCCAAACUUAAAUUUACUGUUAUUCUAAUUUUUAUUGAAAUAACUUUUAUUCUGGAAAAUAAUAAAAAU